rnacentral:lncRNA from 1 species
AUGCAGAGGCAGCGGGGCGCUCGGCCGGGUCGGCACCUUGCGGCUCCUGCUCUGCGCACUGGCCCGGCUGGCCCUGCUCCGCGCCGCGGGCGCUUUGGCCACUGCAGAACCCUUCAGCCCUCCCUGAGGAGACUCAGCUCAGAGCACAGCGUGGGACAGACACAUGGCUGUGCAAUGCCAUCUAGAUGUCAUGGAGGAGGUAACAGGGUGGUUUGGAAGGACGUGCAGAUUCAGGACCACCUUCUAGGAUGGUGUUUUUAUGGGCAGAUGCAAGCUUGCUUUGGAAUGUCAGGACAUCUGGGCCAAUCCUGCCCUGGGGCUACCUUGUCCAACAUCACCCUCCCAUCUAGGCUGCCAGGCUGGCGAGCCCCCAAUGGAUCCUGCCUCUCCUAAGGCCUUACUUACCCCCACCCUGACAUUUCAGCAUCAGUACUGGAUGGGAAGGUGGAAAUCCAGUCACUGUUUUGUUACAUAGCCACGAUUCCUAACCUGUGUGGGGAAAACUUUACAUCUUUAUUGUCACAAGUCUUUAACUGAAAUUGAGCAUUCCUGUUCACCAUAAAUACGGACAGCAAGCCAUGGUGUUAACAGUACUAUAGCUUUUCAUCAAUAGAAAUUCAGAUAAUUUCAUCUUCUUCUAGUUAUGAAUAUCUCAACAUAACAUUUAUAUCUUUCAUUAUGUCAAAAUUUUAGUUGUUGUUAGGCCUGAUGCUAAAUCACGUGAGUUAAUAAAUACAUUUUUUUUUUUUUUUUGAGGCAGGGUCUCUCUCUGUCAACCAGGCUGGAGUGUAGUGGUGCAGUCUCGGCUCACUGCAACUUCCACCUCCCAGGCUCAAGCAAUCCUCCCACCUCAGCCUCCCAAGUAGCUGGGACUACGGCACAUAUACCACCAUGCCUGGCUAAUUUUUGUAUUUUUUUUGUAGAAAUGAGGUUUUGCUAUGUUUCCCAGGCUGGUCUCGAACUCCUAAGCUCAAGCCAUCCACCCACCUCGGCCUCCCAAAGUGCUGGGAUUACAGGCAUGAGCCACUGUGCCCGGCCAAUACAUAUAUUACAUCCAAUUUUUUUAAAUUUUGUUUUUGACAGAGUCUUGCUCUGUCACCCAGGCUAAAGUGCAUGGUACAAUCUCGGCUCACUGCCACCUCCGCCUACCAGGUUCCAGUGAUUCUCAUGCCUCAACUUCCUGAGUAGCUGGGACCACAGGCAUGCACCACCAUGCCCGGCUAAUUUUUUGUAUUUUUGGUAGAGAUGGGGUUUCACCAUAUGGCCAGGCUGGUCUCAAACUCCUCAAGUGAUCUGCCUGCCUCGGCCUCCCAAAAUGCUGGGAUUACAGGCGUGAGUCACCAUGCUGGGCCAAAAAGUUUAUUUAUUUAUUUAUUUAUUUAUGUUUAUUUUUUUUAAGCAGAGUCUCACUCUGUCGCCCAGGCUGGAGUGCAAUGGCAUGAUCUCGGCUCACUGCAACCUCCACCUCCUGGUUCAAGUGAUUCUCUUGCCUCGGCCUCCUGAGUAGCUGGGACUACAGAUGCGCAUCAUCUUGCCAGGCUUCUUUUUGUAUUUUUAGUAGAGACAGGGUUUCACCAUGUUGACCAGGCUGAUCUCAAUCUCCUGACCUCUGGUGAUCCGCCCACCUCGGCCUCCCGAAGUGCUGGGAUUACAGGCGAGAGCCACCACGCCCGGCCUAAUACUUGAAUAAUAUUUUAAUGCAAUUGGUGCCCUUGGUAAUUCUAUAUGUUUUAUUUUUUCAUUUAUGGCAUUAUUCUGUGAAGAGGUCCCUAGGCUUCACUACACUGCUAGUAGGGUCCAUGGCAUACACAGGGAAAAACCAUUAAGAACCGUGAGUAAAUUUCAAAAUCCCAGACCUGUCAUUUGGCAGAGACACCACCAGGGAGCGGAAUAACAAAAGGAAUGUGAGCUCCAGGCUGCAAAGUCCAAAAGGGAGAAGGUUAUCUACAGGCGCUUCAUCCAAACCUGUGACUGAGUGCCAAAAAGGAAGGAGCCGUAGAGAGCGAGCCCCGUAGGAUAUUGUCAUCUGAGGAAACUGAGGCAGGUAGGGGCAAAGCUUGAGUGAGGAAAACCCAGGUCCUGCAGCACCCAGUCCUUUCCCACUGCACCCCACUGGACCGCCAGCUGCUCCUUGGGACCUGGCUGAUGAAGCAGAACGUGGCACCGCUCCUGUCCCGGACGUUACCCACCAUCUCACUCUAGAUGGUAGAGAAGACCACGGAUCACCUGGGGACACCUGCUGGAGGAGCUGGCCUGGAACCUGCCCCGGGGACCCUUCGGCCCCGCCCCCGACCUCCUCGGAGAGGGUGAGCAGUGCGGGUGGCAGAGGACAGCCUCCGGGCUGCUGUCAUCUGGCGCUGGGCAGGCGAGACGGGGACGGCUGCUACACCGCAUAGGGGAGCCCGGAUAGCAGGGAGGGUCCCAGCGCCCCCUGCGGACGGAAGCGGGACGGCAUCAUCCCCGCUCCCCUCCCUUACCACCCUCCGACCCGCACCCCCCCACUCCCCCCCCUCCCCCCCCCCCCCCCCCCCCCCCCCCACACACCGGGUCGCUGCUUCCCAGUGUCAGAUGAGGUUCUGGAAGAGCCGGCCCUAGACGCCCUCUCAGCACAGCCCCGGCGCGGAGAAGCUGCCUGCUUCAUUGGCCUUCUCACGACCGGAGCUCCUCAGCGCCUUUCAUUCCCCCGUGAGGAGCCACUCCUGUUCCACCCCAAAACCGUGGCAGGGAAGACAGGUACCCCCACUGAUCAGGCAGGGAUAGGGUUGCACUCUGUUCUCUCCUUGAUCCCUGUGUCCCGUGCGCAGGAGUUCCCGGGGGCUGGGGAGGGGAGGGAAGGAACAGCUGGACACCGCGGGGGCGGGUACCCUGCAGCACCCCAGCUUGCUCAGUGGAGGCCGCCGCUUUCUUUCGGAUGGCUUCUGAGCCCCGGAGCUGGAGCCCAGCUGCUGGAGGUGGUGCACCUGCCAGGCAGCACCCUCUGAAAGCCAGCCCUGGUCUCUCACCCUCCUUCUUCAGCUUCGUGUGAAAUAAAAGCUACUGUUUUGGUCUCCUCUGUGUCUGCUGACAGAGUAACCCGUUUAACUACAGCCCCUUCUCCCUCCACUUCCAUGCCUGGGGGAGGCCGACAACCCCUCCAGGCUCAGACAUGGGGACACGCCCACUCCCCCUUUCUGUGCUUUAGCACUCCUUAUUUAUAGGGGCAGAUGGAGCAGGAGUUCAUCCACAGAGGUGGGGUCCCUUCGAGUGGCCUUGCUUCUCAAAAUGUGGCCAUAGGUGAGAAGCAAGGAGAUCAGGGUCUCAGGACCCACCCAGACUCCUUAAUCCAAAUCUGCAUUGCAAUAAGACCCCCAGGGAAUUUAUGUGUCCAUUAAAGAGGUUUGUUGUUGUUGUUUUAAAAAAACUUUCCUAUGAAGUGAAAUUCAAUGUAAAAUGCAUCAUUGUAACCAUUUUAAAUUGUACAAGGCUGAGGGCAGUGGCUUACCUCUAUAAUCCUAGCACUUUGGGAGGCCAAGGUAGGCGGAUCACUUGAACCCAGAAGUUUGAGACCAGCCUGGACAACAUGGUGAAACCCCAUCCCUACAAAAAAUCCAAAAAUUAGCCGGGCAUGGUGGCACGGUGGUGCAUGCCUGUAGUCCAAGCUACUCAGGAGGCUGGGGUGGGAGGAUCACCUGAGCCUUGGAGGUCAAGGCUGCGGUGAGCCAUGAUUGUGCCACUGCACUUCAACCUGGGUGACAGAGUGAGACCUUGUCUCCAAAAUAAAUAAAUAAAAUAAAUAAGCAAAUUGUACAAAUGCAGUGACUUCCAGUACAUUCAGAAGUUGUGCAGUCAUACCACCAGUUCCAGAACAUUGUUCUCACUCUAGAAAGAAACUCUGUACCUAUUAAGAAGUCACAUCCCAUUCCUGUCCCCCCGCCCCCCCCGCCAUGCCCCUGGAAACCACUGAUCUCUGUCUCCAUGAACUUGCCUAUUCCGGACAUUUUAAAUACAGUAGUCCCGCUUUAUCUGUGGUUUCACCUUCCAUGGUUUCAGUUACCUGAAGUCAACCACAGUCCUAAAAUAUUAAACUCCAGAAAUAAACAAUAUAUGAGUUUUCAAUCACACAUCAUUCUAAGUGGUGUGAUGAAAUCUCUCGCCAUCCCACUUCGUCCCACCCCGGACAUGAACGCUCCCUUUGUCCAGCAUGGUCCACGCUGUCUACACUUCCUGCCUGUUAGUCGCUUAGCAGCCUUCUCAGCUACCAGAUCAAUGGCCACAGUUUCGCAGUGCUUGUGUUCCAGCAACACUUCAUUCACUUAAUCAAGACCCGAAGUGCAAGAGCAGGGCUGCUGGCAUAUGGUUAUUGUUUUUCAUGCAACUGUCCCUUCACAGAAGCUGGCAUAUUGUUCUAAUUUUUCUGUUUUAUUCUUAGCUAUUGUUGCUAAUCUCUUAUGGUGCCUAAUUUAUAAAUUAAGCUUCAUAGGUAUGCAUG